ACCUUCUCCUUUCAGAAAAUAAUUGCUACUACAAGUUGGCCUAACAACACUCUAUAUAAAAUGUUAUGUUCUACUUCCAAUAAAUGUAUCAUCUUCUGCUAUGUAACUCUCUUCAAAACUAGAGGCAUCAAAGGUCAAUGUUGAAUGGUUGAAGACGGUGGGUCCUGAAAGGGCUAUUAUAAGGGUCAUAGGAUCAACAAGCUUGGAGCAAUUUGGCUUAGAUAAAGAUGUUGUAGAUAACAGUUUGAUUGAUGAUGUUUAGGACUUGUAAAAUUUGAUGCAUAAAUUUUUCUAUGCCAUGGAUUCUAGAACUUAUGAAUUCUUUAUGAUGUAUGAAACUUGAAUAAAUGCGCCGACAGGGCUUUAUUGUCA